AGUGAACGCUGGCGGUAGGCCUAACACAUGCAAGUCGAACGGCGGCACAGUAAGAGCUUGCUCUUACGGGUGGCGAGUGGCGUACGGGUGAGGAAUACAUCGGAAUCUACUUUUUCGUGGGGGAUAACGUAGGGAAACUUACGCUAAUACCGCAUACGACCUACGGGUGAAAGCAGUGGAUCUUCGGACCUUGCGCGAUUGAAUUAGCCGAUGUCGGAUUAGCUAGUUGGCGGGGUAAAGGCCCACCAAGGCGACGAUCCGUAGCUGGUCUGAGAGGAUGAUCAGCCACACUGGAACUGAGACACGGUCCAGACUCCUAAGGGAGGCAGCAGUGGGGAAUAUUGGACAAUGGGCGCAAGCCUGAUCCAGCCAUACCGAGUGGGUGAAGAAGGCCUUCGGGUUGUAAAGACCUUUUGUUGGGAAAGAAAAGCAGCAGGUUAAUACCCCGCUGUUCUGACGGUACCCAAAGAAUAAGCACCGGCUAACUUCGUG
rnacentral:rRNA from 1 species